UACGGGGGGGGCAAGCGUUGUUCGGAAUUACUGGGCGUAAAGGGCUCGUAGGCGGCCAACUAAGUCGGAUGUGAAAUCCCCAAGCUUAACUUGGGAACUGCAUCCGAUACUGGAUGGCUUGAAUCCGGGAGAGGGAUGCAGAAUUCCAGGUGUAGCGGUGAAAUGCGUAGAUAUCGUUUGGAACGCCAAUGGUGAAAACAGCUCGCUGGGGGUGCGCUGACACUGAGACACGAAAGCCAGGGGAGCAAACGGG
rnacentral:rRNA from 1 species